CCUAGAGUUGUAGGCUUUGCCUGCUAUCUCUUACCCAUGUCUUUUGAGUACCUUACGUUUCCUCGGCGGGUCCGCCCGCCGAUUGGACAAUUUAAACCAUUUGCAGUUGCAAUCAGCGUCUGAAAAAACUUAAUAGUUA
rnacentral:misc_RNA from 1 species